AACGAACGCUGGCGGCAGGCUUAACACAUGCAAGUCGAGCGAGACCUUCGGGCCUAGCGGCGGACGGGUGAGUAACGAGUGGGAACGUGCCCUUCUCUAAGGAAUAGCCCCGGGAAACUGGGCGUAAUAACGCAUACGCCCUUAGGGGGUAAGAUUUAUCGGAGAAGGAUCGGCCCGGGUUGGUUUAGGUAGUUGGUGGGGUAAUGGCCCACCAAGCCGACGAUCCAUAGCUGGUUGGAGAGGAUGAUCAGCCACACUGGGACUGAGACACAGCCCAGACUCCUACGGGAGACAGCAGUGGAGUAUCUUAUGCAAUGGAGGCAGACCUAGUCUAGCCAUGCCGCGUGAGUGAGGAAGGCCUUAGGGUUGUAAAGCUCUUUCAGCUGGAGAGAUAGUGACGGUACCAGCAGAAGAAGCCCCGGCUAACUCCGUG
rnacentral:rRNA from 1 species